UCUGCUAUGAUGGCUCCUAGCUCACUGACCCUUCUGCCAAAGUGAUAGCCACCAGCAAUGCAACCUUCAUGGACAGGGCUGCAAGAAGCUGUCUGAGAAACUGUUGGCAACCAGACCUCCUGGUGGGAGCAGCCUACCAAGAGCCAGCCAGCCAGGGUCCUCAUGAGAAGGCUUGCCUGACCUUGAUGGGCUCGAACAAGGAGCACAUCUCUUAAAGACAGUCCUCAACUUCCACCCACGAAGGUGCUCUCUACUUUCCUGGGAAGCCUUGAGUGAAGAGACCUUGGGCUUAGGCACUGUUGGCUCCACUCCUAAGCAUGUGUAUGAAGUGGCACUGCUCGUCAGGUGAGGCUGAUGUACAGGGGGUUCUCCCAGGCCAAGAUUAGACAGGGUUCUCCAUUAGGAAUUUCCUCAAGUGAAGCUCACAAACUUCUUGAGUUCUACAUGGGAAUGAAUGGCAAUACCGUUCUUCACAGAGAUAUGCAUCUCACCCAGACAGUAGAGGCAACAGUGAUGUUCAUUGCUCAUGGAGAAGAAGAAAAAGAACCAUCAGAGCAAAAAAGGAACAAAUGAUGAGCAAAGGAAACUAAGCUCAUGGAAUUAGAUGGAUUCAUGACUAUGA